AAGAUCAUGGAGCUCAUUGCCAGAGCCAUUGUCGAGCCGUAGUUCAUCAGCUAGGGGCAGAGGAGAUGUAAUUGGAUGUACUGGUGCUGCUGCAUCUUAAGAUGGAAGUACUCAUGCCUGAUGGAAGAUAAGAGCAAGCAUGCUGUCAAGCCAAGAACAGCACAUCCUCAUCUACAUCCAUUUGAAUUUGAACGUCUGUAGUGUGAUCCUUCCUAAGAAUCCUAACCCUUUUUAUGGUCUGAUUGGAUUAAAAAAAAUCAUAUGUUCAUGCCUGAUGCAAGUGAAGGUCAGCAUAGGCAUGUUGUUUGGUCACUAGUAUGCCAAUCAAUCACUAGCUAGAUUCUUGAUUCAAGAUAUGUAAAUUCUUUUAUGUGUACUGUGCCUUAUGUUUUCUGGAUGCUAAUCCUUUUUUUUAUUCAUAUAGUUACCUAGUUAGUUGUUUGAUUUGUGGUUUUUCUUGCAAGUCCAAAUCGUAAAAUUUGGCGCCAUGAAGCAGAUCUGUUAGUGCCCCUUAUUCAACCAAUGUAUGCUUUUUUCAUGGUCA